CGAGAAAGCCCGCAAGGGUGAGUAAAGCGGCGCACGGGUGAGUAACACGUGGGUAAUCUGCCCUAGAGUCCGGAAUAACUCGCCGAAAGGCGUGCUAAUGCCGGAUGAGACCACGGGAGCCUCGGCUCCUGCGGGAAAAGGUGGCCUCUGUAUACAAGCUAUCACUUCAGGAUGAGCCCGCGGCCCAUCAGCUCGUUGGCGGGGUAAUGGCCCACCAAGGCUACGACGGGUAGCUGGUCUGAGAGGACGAUCAGCCACACUGGAACUGAGACACGGUCCAGACUCCUACGGGAGGCAGCAGUGGGGAAUCUUGCGCAAUGGGCGAAAGCCUGACGCAGCAACGCCGCGUGUGUGAUGAAGGUCUUCGGAUCGUAAAGCACUGUCGCGAGGGACG
rnacentral:rRNA from 1 species